rnacentral:rRNA from 1 species
UAGGGAAUCUUCCGCAAUGGACGCAAGUCUGACGGAGCAACGCCGCGUGAGUGAAGAAGGAUUUCGGUUCGUAAAACUCUGUUGUUAGAGAAGAACAGCGCAUAGAGUAACUGUUAUGCGUGUGACGGUAUCUAACCAGAAAGCCACGGCUAACUACGUGCCAGCAGCCGCGGUAAUACGUAGGUCCCGAGCGUUGUCCGGAUUUAUUGGGCGUAAAGCGAGCGCAGGCGGUUAGAUAAGUCUGAAGUUAAAGGCAGUGGCUCAACCAUUGUAGGCUUUGGAAACUGUUUAACUUGAGUGCAGAAGGGGAGAGUGGAAUUCCAUGUGUAGCGGUGAAAUGCGUAGAUAUAUGGAGGAACACCGGUGGCGAAAGCGGCUCUCUGGUCUGUAACUGACGCUGAGGCUCUAAAGCGUGGGGAGCGAACAGG